rnacentral:rRNA from 1 species
CCUACGGGGGGCUGCAGUGGGGAAUAUUGGACAAUGGGGGCAACCCUGAUCCAGCCAUGCCGCGUGUGUGAAGAAGGCCCUCGGGUUGUAAAGCACUUUCAGUGAGGAAGAACGCCUGGUGGUUAAUACCCAUCAGGAAAGACAUCACUCACAGAAGAAGCACCGGCUAACUCCGUGCCAGCAGCCGCGGUAAUACGGAGGGGUGCGAGCGUUAAUCGGAAUUACUGGGCGUAAAGCGCGCGUAGGUGGCGUGAUAAGCCGGUUGUGAAAGCCACGGGCUCAACCUGGGAACGGCAUCCGGAACUGUCAAGCUAGAGUGCAGGAGAGGAAGGUAGAAUUCCCGGUGUAGCGGUGAAAUGCGUAGAGAUCGGGAGGAAUACCAGUGGCGAAGGCGGCCUUCUGGACUGACACUGACACUGAGGUGCGAAAGCGUGGGUAGCAAACAGGAUUAGAGACCCGGGUAGUC